GAGACUCUGUGCGCGUGCAUAUCAAUAAGCGGAGGAAAAGAAACUAACAAGGAUUCCCUUAGUAACGGCGAGUGAAGCGGGAAGAGCUCAAAUUUGAAAUCUUCAAGGUUCUACCUUGACGAAUUGUAGUUUAUAGAAGUGUUUUCUGUUAGUAGAGUGGCAAAAGUUCUUUGGAAUAGGACAUCAUAGAGGGUGAGAAUCCCGUAUUUGGUCAUUCUUCCUAGCGUUGUGAUACACUUUCAACGAGUCGGAUUGUUUGGGAAUGCAGUCCAAAAUGGGUGGUAAAUUUCAUCUAAAGCUAAAUAUUGGCGAGAGACCGAUAGCGAACAAGUACCGUGAGGGAAAGAUGAGAAGAACUUUGAAAAGAGAGUUAAACAGUACGUGAAAUUGUCAAAAGGGAAGCGUUUGACACCAGUGUUGUUUUUCCGAAAAUCAAUUACGAAUGUUUUAUUUUUGAGGAGUUAUGACUUCAUCGGCUUGCUCCUUUCUUUAUGAAACUUUCUUAAUGCACUUUUCGGUUAACAAGUCAACAUCAAUUUCUUUUGUUGUAAAAGGGUAUGAGGAAGGUGGCUUUCUUUUCGGAGAAAGUGUUUAUAGCCUUGUGCCUCUGCAAUCGGAGAGAUUGAGGUCUGCAGCGUAGAUCCUUCGGGGUUAGAUACGUUUGUGCUAAGUUAUAGCUUUUCAUAGACAACUUGUUGACUAUGUUUAGUCUUGUAGCUUACUCGCUUACGCUAUUUUACCUACGCUUAGGAUGUUGACAGCAGUAUAGACUGU
rnacentral:rRNA from 1 species